AUUGAACGCUGGCGGCAUGCUUUACACAUGCAAGUCGAACGGCAGCGCGGGCUUCGGCCUGGCGGCGAGUGGCGAACGGGUGAGUAAUGCAUCGGAACGUGCCCAGUAGUGGGGGAUAGCCCGGCGAAAGCCGGAUUAAUACCGCAUACGACCUGAGGGUGAAAGCGGGGGACCGAAAGGCCUCGCGCUAUUGGAGCGGCCGAUGUCGGAUUAGCUAGUUGGUGGGGUAACGGCUUACCAAGGCGACGAUCGGUAGCUGGUGUGAGAGGACGACCAGCCACACUGGGACUGGAACACGGCCCAGACUCCUACGGGAGGCAGCAGUGGGGAAUUUUGGACAAUGGGGGCAACCCUGAUCCAGCCAUGCCGCGUGCGGGAAGAAGGCCUUCGGGUUGUAAACCGCUUUUGUUCGGGAAGAAAUCCUCUGGGCUAAUACCCCGGGGGGAUGACGGUACCGGAAGAAUAAGCACCGGCUAACUACGUG
rnacentral:rRNA from 1 species